rnacentral:rRNA from 1 species
AUGCAUGUCUAAGUACAAGCCGUCCCGCACGGUGAAACCGCGAAAGGCUCAUUAAAUCAGUUAUGGUUCCUUAGAUCGUACCCAAGUUACAUGGAUAACUGUGGUAAUUCUAGAGCUAAUACAUGCCGACAGAGCUCCGACCAGCGCGCAGUCGAUCGACGGUUCGUCCGUCGUCUUCGGCCGUUCGGAAGGAGCGCUUUUAUUAGAUCAAAACCGGCCAAGCGUCCCGAUCGCGCUUCGCGUGCGCUCGGGCGUAAGUGGCCCGCGCAAAGACUUGACGACUCUGAAUAACUUCGAGCUGAUCGCACGGUCUAGUACCGGCGACGUAUCUUUCAAAUGUCUGCCUUAUCAACUGUCGACGGUAGGUUCUACGCCUACCGUGGUGGUAACGGGUAACGGGGAAUCAGGGUUCGAUUCCGGAGAGGGAGCCUGAGAAACGGCUACCACAUCCAAGGAAGGCAGCAGGCACGCAAAUUAUCCAUUCCG